CCUACGGUAGGCAGCAGUGGGGAAUAUUGCACAAUGGGGGAAACCCUGAUGCAGCAACGCAGCGUGAAGGAAGACGGUUUUCGGACUGGAAACUUCUGUUAUUAGUGAAGAAGAAUGACGGUAGCUAAGGAGCAAGCCACGGCUAACUAAGUGCCAGCAGCCGCGGUAAUACGGAGGUGGCAAGCGUUGUCCGGAAUUACUGGGUGUAAAGGGAGGGAAGGCGGGAAGCCAAGUCAGUUGUGAAAACUAUGGGCUUAACUUGUAGACUGCAGUUGAAACUGGUUUUCUUGAGUGGAGUAGAGGUAGGCGGAAUUCCGUGUGUAGCGGUGAAAUGCGUAGAUAUUCGGAGGAACACCGGUGGCGAAGGCGGCCAACUGGGCUUUAACUGACGCUGAGGCUCGAAAGUGUGGGGAGCAAACAGGAUUAGAUACCCUUGUAGUC
rnacentral:rRNA from 1 species